AAAUAAAUAUCUAAAUUUUUAAGUAUAUCAUUUACAGUGAUAAGAUGUUUUUUAAACUUUAUUUA
rnacentral:tRNA from 1 species